UUAAAUUUCAUACGGUCAUUGCUUUAACAUCAAGCAUUUGUCAGUAACCCGCAAUGCAUACCAUACACUUCUAUUGUCCAACUCACUACAAUUGCCAUUUAGGAAUGUAUAAGGCUCAAAAGCUCAAGUAUAGUAUCUCAAUUAGCAAUAUGAACAAAGAUUCCUUGUGCGAUCGUACUUAGGGUCAUCGAAGCAACUACGAUCUCAUUCAGAAUUAAAAUUCAUCGAGACAACUAAGGUCUCAUCCAGAUUUAAAAUUCAUUGAGAUAACUAGGGUCUUAUUUGGAUUAAAAAUUCAUGGAGGCAAGGGUCAGUGGCACCAACCUAUUAUCACAUAAUGAAUAAAGAACUUUUCUUGUCUUACCAAUUUUCAAUUUUCACCAUUGUUUCAAUUAAUCAGGAUCCAAGAUUCUUGAUGAAUAAUCAAGAACAAGAUCUGUAACACAUACAAUGUAGCCAAUAUGAGAAACAUACAGAAUAUAGCAUACACAGAUUAUACUAUACAAACGAAUUUGCAGAAUAGAAUUUUCCAAGAAACUACCCAAGAAAUUGCCUCAAAAUCAUUUUUGGGUUUUAGAACAUGGGUGAGUUUUCUCAAAAGAUGACACUUUAUUCAGAUCAAUAGCAAAGAAUUUCAAAAUGUUGAAAAUGAAUAAAGAUAAACGAUCGAGAUGUCCAUUCAUUCAAUAUAAACCCAGUAAGAUCCCCAUUCUUCUGUUAUCGAAGAGGGUUUAAGAUUUUCUUGGCUUGGCAAAGGAAUUUAUAAAUGAAUUCCUCAAAAUGUUUAAUGAAUAAAACAAAGAAGACAAAAAGAAGAUGAAAACAUUCCCUUAUAUGAUAGUUUAACUUAAAGCAAACCCAAGAAAAGGAUAAAAACAUUCCCUUAUAUGAUUUGAUUCCAAACCCAAAUUUCAUCAUUUGAAUCCUAGUAUAAAGCCUUCACCUUUUCACACUUUCAUUACUAAACAGAGAUUAAAGCAAACCCACGUAGCAAAAACGAACUUAGAAUAAUAUGGUUAAUCACGGAUGACGGAGGGAGGGAGAGAGAGAGAGAGAGGGAGAGAGAGAGAGG
rnacentral:lncRNA from 1 species